GACGAACCGUGCGAACGUUGUUCGGAAUCACUGGGCUUAAAGGGCGCGUAGGCGGGCCGCAAAGUCAGGGGUGAAAUCCUCCAGCUCAACUGGAGAACUGCCAUUGAUACUGGCGGGCUUGAGUACAGACGAGGUAGGCGGAAUUGAUUGUGUAGCGGUGAAAUGCAUAGAUACAAUCAAGAACACCGAUUGCGUAGGCAGCUUACUAGGCUGUAACUGACGCUGAGGCACGAAAGCGUGGGGAGCGAACAGG
rnacentral:rRNA from 1 species